rnacentral:rRNA from 1 species
GUGGCGAACGGGUGAGUUACACGUGGGUAAUCUGCCCUGUACUCUGGGAUAAGCCUGGGAAACUGGGUCUAAUACCGGAUAUGACCUUUCACCGCAUGGUGGGGGGUGGAAAGUUCCGGCGGUAUGGGAUGAACCCGCGGCCUAUCAGCUUGUUGGUGGGGUAAUGGCCUACCAAGGCGACGACGGGUAGCCGGCCUGAGAGGGUGACCGGCCACACUGGGACUGAGACACGGCCCAGACUCCUACGGGAGGCAGCAGUGGGGAAUAUUGGACAAUGGGCGCAAGCCUGAUCCAGCCAUGCCGCGUGAGUGAUGAAGGCCCUAGGGUUGUAAAGCUCUUUCACCGGUGAAGAUAAUGACGGUAACCGGAGAAGAAGCCCCGGCUAACUUCGUGCCAGCAGCCGCGGUAAUACGAAGGGGGCUAGCGUUGUUCGGAUUUACUGGGCGUAAAGCGCACGUAGGCGGACUUUUAAGUCAGGGG